rnacentral:rRNA from 8 species
GUUGACCUCGGAUCAGGUAGGAAUACCCGCUGAACU